rnacentral:rRNA from 1 species
GGGGGAUAUUGCGCAAUGGGGGAAACCCUGACGCAGCAACGCCGCGUGAAGGAUGAAGGUCUUCGGAUUGUAAACUUCUUUUAUUAAGGACGAAGAAAGUGACGGUACUUAAUGAAUAAGCUCCGGCUAACUACGUGCCAGCAGCCGCGGUAAUACGUAGGGAGCAAGCGUUGUCCGGAUUUACUGGGUGUAAAGGGAGCGCAGGCGGGAAGACAAGUUGGAAGUGAAAUCUAUGGGCUCAACCCAUAAACUGCUUUCAAAACUGUUUUUCUUGAGUAGUGCAGAGGUAGGCGGAAUUCCCGGUGUAGCGGUGGAAUGCGUAGAUAUCGGGAGGAACACCAGUGGCGAAGGCGGCCUACUGGGCACCAACUGACGCUGAGGCUCGAAAGUGUGGGUAGCAAACAGGAUUAGAUACCCUGGUAGUCCACACCGUAAACGAUGAUUACUAGGUGUUGGAGGAUUGACCCCUUCAGUGCCGCAGUUAACACAAUAAGUAAUCCACCUGGGGAGUACGACCGCAAGGUUGAAACUCAAAGGAAUUGACGGGGGCCCGCACAAGCAGUGGAGUAUGUGGUUUAAUUCGACGCAACGCGAAGAACCUUACCAAGUCUUGACAUCCCUUGACGAUGCUGGAAACAGCAUUUCUCUUCGGAGCAAGGAGACAGGUGGUGCAUGGUUGUCGUCAGCUCGUGUCGUGAGAUGUUGGGUUAAGUCCCGCAACGAGCGCAACCCUUAUGGUCAGUUACUACGCAAGAGGACUCUGGCCAGACUGCCGUUGACAAAACGGAGGAAGGUGGGGAUGACGUCAAAUCAUCAUGCCCUUUAUGACUUGGGCUACACACGUACUACAAUGGCGUUAAACAAAGAGAAGCAAGACCGCGAGGUGGAGCAAAACUCAGAAACAACGUCCCAGUUCGGACUGCAGGCUGCAACUCGCCUGCACGAAGUCGGAAUUGCUAGUAAUCGUGGAUCAGCAUGCCACGGUGAAUACGUUCCCG